rnacentral:rRNA from 1 species
UACGGAGGGUGCGAGCGUUAAUCGGAAUUACUGGGCGUAAAGGGCGCGUAGGCGGUGGGUUACGUCUGCCGUGAAAUCCCCGGGCUCAACCUGGGAAUGGCGGUGGAAACGGGCUGACUGGAGUAUGGGAGAGGGUGAUGGAAUUCCAAGUGUAGCGGUGAAAUGCGUAGAGAUCUGGAGGAACACCAGUGGCGAAGGCGGUCACCUGGCCCGAUACUGCCGCUGAGGCGCGAAAGCGUGGGGAGCAAAUAGG